rnacentral:snoRNA from 1 species
UGUGCUGAUGAUACUGGGAUUAGGAAGUGCUGUCAGAAGUGAUAAAGAAGAGUCAGAGC